GACACCCUACGGGGGGCAGCAGUGGGGAAUUUUGCGCAAUGCUCGUAAGAGUGACGCAGCGACGCCGCGUGAAUGACGAAGGCCUUCGGGUCGUAAAGUUCUUUCGACAGGGAAGAAAAUGCCUAUAAGUAACUGUGCAUGUAUUGACGGUACCUGUAUAAGCAGCCCCGGCUAACUCCGUGCCAGCAGCCGCGGUAAUACGGAGGGGGCGAGCGUUGUUCGGAGUGACUGGGCGUAAAGAGCACGUAGGCGGUGUUGUAAGUCAUUAGUCAACGACUAGAGCUCAACUUGAGUCAAGCUCGUGA
rnacentral:rRNA from 1 species